AUUAUAAAAGUUCGGCAGCAUACAUACUAAAAUUUGAAUGACACAAAUAAGAUGAGCAUGGCCCCCGCUCAUGGAGGACAAACAAAUUCGUGAGGUGUUCCAUAGAUUU